rnacentral:rRNA from 1 species
AGUGAACGCUGGCGGUAGGCCUAACACAUGCAAGUCGAACGGCAGCACAGUAAGAGCUUGCUCUUACGGGUGGCGAGUGGCGGACGGGUGAGGAAUACAUCGGAAUCUACUUUUUCGUGGGGGAUAACGUAGGGAAACUUACGCUAAUACCGCAUACGACCUACGGGUGAAAGCAGGGGAUCUUCGGACCUUGCGCGAUUGAAUGAGCCGAUGUCGGAUUAGCUAGUUGGCGGGGUAAAGGCCCACCAAGGCGACGAUCCGUAGCUGGUCUCUGAGGAUGAUCAGCCACACUGGAACUGAGACACGGUCCAGACUCCUACGGGAGGCAGCAGUGGGGAAUAUUGGACAAUGGGCGCAAGCCUGAUCCAGCCAUACCGCGUGGGUGAAGAAGGCCUUCGGGUUGUAAAGCCCUUUUGUUGGGAAAGAAAAGCAGCAGGUUAAUACCCCGCUGUUCUGACGGUACCCAAAGAAUAAGCACCGGCUAACUUCGUG